rnacentral:lncRNA from 1 species
GAGGAAUCCUGAGGGUGCUAUGCGGCGAUAGGAUUGUGCUGGAGGGAAAGAAGGGGAGGAGAGGACAUUAUUGCCUAACGGAGAGCCCAGUGCAAGGUGGAGCUUUAAGAGCCAGGAGGAGCCCAAAGUAAGAUGAAGCUCCAGGUGGAGGUGGAUCGGGCAUGAGACAGGAGACUCGGAAGAAUGAGAGGCGACGUCGCAAGGUGAGAUUGCUAUUGCUGC